rnacentral:rRNA from 1 species
AUGGCCAUGAGGGCUCUCGCGCUUUCCCCGUCCCAGAGCUCCUCAUUUGGGCUCCACCAGAGUAUGCCCUCCUUCAAGCCAAGCAGCACCAGUCCUGCUAGAUCAGUCAGGGCCUAUGCGAAAGCGGAUGAGCAGGAGGAGAAGAAGAAGGUGCCCAAGCAGUCCUUGUUUGGGAACAUCACCGAGGCGCUGGACUUCUCGCAGGUCCGGUCGGAGAAGGAUGCGGAGCUGCUGUAUGAGGCCAGGGAUUCCAUCAAAGAUGAAGGAAGGAUGACAAGGGAACAGUAUGCAGCCCUUCGGAGGAAGAUUGGUGGCACCUACAAGGAUUUCUUCAAGUCAUAUGUUGAAGUUGACGGUGAAUACGUGGAGGAAGGUUGGGUGGACAAGACCUGCAAAGUUUGCAAGAAAGACACAAGAGGGGAGCCAAGGCAAGUUGACAAUCUAGGAAGAUAUAUGCAUGUGGCGUGCGCAGAGAACUCGAAACCAACAAACUUCUUUUCCAAGCUCUUCGGCAGAUGA